UUUAGAAAUAAUUUAAAUGUUAGGAAAAUGGUAGAAAGAAUUUAAUUGUUACAUUUAUAAACAAUGCAGAUUAUUAAUUGUAAGUUUUACCGCUACAGUGCAGUCAACAGUUAAAUAUGACGUCAAGACAGAA